rnacentral:rRNA from 1 species
GAUGAACGCUGGCGGCGUGCCUAAUACAUGCAAGUCGAGCGAACAGACGAGGAGCUUGCUCCUCUGACGUUAGCGGCGGACGGGUGAGUAACACGUGGAUAACCUACCUAUAAGACUGGGAUAACUUCGGGAAACCGGAGCUAAUACCGGAUAAUAUAUUGAACCGCAUGGUUCAAUAGUGAAAGACGGUUUUGCUGUCACUUAUAGAUGGAUCCGCGCCGCAUUAGCUAGUUGGUAAGGUAACGGCUUACCAAGGCAACGAUGCGUAGCCGACCUGAGAGGGUGAUCGGCCACACUGGAACUGAGACACGGUCCAGACUCCUACGGGAGGCAGCAGUAGGGAAUCUUCCGCAAAGGGCGAGAGCCUGACGGAGCAACGCCGCGUGAGUGAUGAAGGUCUUCGGAUCGUAAAACUCUGUUAUUAGGGAAGAACAAAUGUGUAAGUAACUAUGCACGUCUUGACGGUACCUAAUCAGAAAGCCACGGCUAACUACGUG